UAUUUAGGUAUACACAACAUCCCAUUGAAUUGGAAAAAAACUACCGAUGUCGAUCGAGUAACGGAUCUCUUCUUCCCCCUUUCUUUCAAUGUCCUCGUGUACGCCCAUGUGAAUGUGGGUGUAUUCACGAGGACACCCUUAUCUUACCCUAUCCCGUCUGGUGUAAUUCAACUCUUCAGCGGACGGAUGGAGCAACUGACCGUAGAUGCCUGGCUGUGUUUCCCAGGCCUAAAGUUGAAACCACGAGAUGCGUUCGUCAGGUUAAAACCCUCAGCCACCGGUUUUUCAUCUCUACAAGGUCAAAUAUUUCGUGACUCGUGUAGUGAUGUCGAUGCCUUCAGCCAACCAACCUUCAGAGCGUCCAUCCAAGAUAACUAAUAGCCAUCAACUUUGAUUUUUGAACGGUUAAAACAACAAUAAUCGAAUUCCCAAUGACUCUGGGAGGUAUUAUCGCUAAAAUACUGCCCACAAGAUUUCUCAAAUAAUUUUCUUUUUAUCGUAUUAACAAUUUAACACAACUUCUGCUCCCGUUUUGGCUCGGCCAAUCAACGUCCAACCUUCCCUUUUAGCCGCCAUACCAAUUAUUCUUUUAUUAUAUUCUAAACUUCCUUUUAUUUUAUCACACGAAUUAAAAUUCGGAAACACAAGACGUUUAUGAUGUUAUCGGAAUGUUUCUUUUCUUCAAAUCAAUGUAUUCUUCUACUCUUUUUAAAUAUUACAUCGACAUUUUGAACGUCAGUGUAAAAUUAAAUAAGCCCCGUCGAUAUCUAGAGCUACGGCAACAUUAAAUGGUUGUUGGAGCUCUUGAUUUCGAUAACAUCCAACAAGCGAAGCUAAAAACUAUGCAAAGAUAUAAUAAGUAUGUAAGCAUGAAGCAGGUCUGUUGUGUACUUGCUGUAGAGCAUGUCGAGUGAUUAUUGUGAGGUCCAUUUGCAUUUCAAUGAGCCGGUCGCGGUGGAAGUCGCAAGCAACACGAUUGGUUUAU